CAAUGUGGGCUCAAUUUUAUUUAAAACGAAUGCCUGCUUCUUCUGUUUUUUUAUUCCGCUCCCCUGUUUACUAGCUUAAGGUUUGCGGCUUGAAGAAGACAAGGAAAUCCCUCACGAAGUCCCCAAUGCUGUAGUGGUGAAGAAGCCCCAUAGGUACCGCCCUGGAGUUGUAGCUAACCGGUAUACACCAAUGAACUUCAUCUAAAUUUUCUUCAAUUCUAUGUGGUCUACUGUUCUUGGUUGCCCUUGUUUCUUAUUGCUUCUUCUCUUAUAUCAUCAUCUAGUGAAAUAUGCAAAUAAUUUACCCAAAAAAAAAAAAAAAUUCCGCAAAUACAAUACAGAUCUCUUGAUCCCAAAACAACAAUUCCAAAAGCUUGUUCAAGAGAUACCUCAGGACUACAGUGUAGGUGAAAGAGUUGAGAUAGACAUUUUUGUUUCUUCUUCUUCACUGUAGAAUUGUUUCUUGAAUGGUAAUGGUAUUGGUUGGAACAGGCAGAUCUACACUUUCAGAUUCAUGCGAUACUGGCUUUGCAAGAGGCUGCUGAGGCUUGCCAACCAUGUCACCAUUAUGCCUCGAGACAUGCAGCUUGCCAGGAGGAUCCGAGGAUUCAAGUAUCGAUGAUGCUUGAGGGCGGAUCAUGUCCUCGUAACUUAUCCACACAUCCAUCUAUGUGGAUUAAAUCGAGAAUGGUUUUUGUAUAAGAAUUUGAUCUAUGACUUUAGGAAUAAUUAUCCUCCGCAUGAUCACCUUAUGCGGAUUACGAAAACCUGAUCCAGUUUUAGGAGGUAGAUGGUUGGACGCCCAAGUAUUAGAUUGGUAUCUUAAAUAAAUAAAUAAAUAAAUAAAGGUAAUAUCUGUCGAGACUAA